rnacentral:rRNA from 1 species
AAAACGACUCUCGACAACGGAUAUCUCGGCUCUCGCAUCGAUGAAGAACGUAGCGAAAUGCGAUACUUGGUGUGAAUUGCAGAAUCCCGUGAACCAUCGAGUCUUUGAACGCAAGUUGCGCCCGAAGCCUUCUGGCCGAGGGCACGUCUGCCUGGGUGUCACAC